rnacentral:rRNA from 1 species
GGGGGGGGGGGGCGGGGGGCGGAGGACGGGGGGGGCGGGGGGGGGGGGGGGGCUGGGGCCGGGAGGCGGCGGGGGACGGGGGGGGGAGGCCUGGGAGUCUGCCUGGGAGGGGGGGAGGACGUCCGGAAGCGGGCGCUAAUACCGCAGGCGGCCUGAGGGAGAAGGUGGGGGGUCUUCGGACCUCACGCUCUCAGGUGAGCCUAGGUCGGAUUAGCUAGUUGGUGGGGUAAAGGCCUACCAAGGCGACGAUCCGUAACUGGCCUGAGAGGAUGAUCAGUCACACUGGAACUGAGACACGGUCCAGACUCCUACGGGAGGCAGCAGUGGGGAAUAUUGGACAGUGGGCGAGAGCCUGAUCCAGCCAUGCCGCGUGUGUGAAGAAGGUCUUCGGAUUGUAAAGCACUUUAAGUUGGGAGGAAGGGCAGUAAGUUAAUACCUUGCUGUUUUGACGUUACCAACAGAAUAAGCACCGGCUAACUUCGUG